GAAAGUUGGGGGCUCGAAGACGAUCAGAUACCGUCCUAGUCUCAACCAUAAACGAUGCCGACCAGGGAUCGGCGGAUGUUGCUUAUAGGACUCCGCCGGCACCUUAUGAGAAAUCAAAGUCUUUGGGU
rnacentral:rRNA from 2 species